UACGAAGGGUGCAAGCGUUGUUCGGAUUUAUUGGGCGUAAAGCGCGCGCAGGCGGAUUAAUAAGUCAGGUGUGAAAUCUCGGGGCUUAACCCCGAAAUUGCGCCUGAAACUGUUGAUCUUGAAUCCUGGAGAGGGAAGGGGAAUAUCUCAUGUAGGGGUAAAAUCCGUAGAGAUGAGAUGGAACACCAGAGGCGAAGGCGCCUUCCUGGACAGGUAUUGACGCUGAGGCGCGAAAGCGUGGGGAGCAAACAGG
rnacentral:misc_RNA from 1 species